rnacentral:rRNA from 1 species
CAGUAGCCGCGGUAAUACGUAGGGUGCGAGCGUUAAUCGGAAUUACUGGGCGUAAAGCGUGCGCAGGCGGCUUUGCAAGACAGAUGUGAAAUCCCCGGGCUCAACCUGGGAACUGCAUUUGUGACUGCAAGGCUAGAGUACGGUAGAGGGGGAUGGAAUUCCGUGUGUAGCAGUGAAAUGCGUAGAUAUGCGGAGGAACACCAAUGGCGAAGGCAAUCCCCUGGACCUGUACUGACGCUCAUGCACGAAAGCGUGGGGAGCAAACAGGAUUAGAUACCCCUGUAGUCCCUGUCUCUUAUAC